UGGGGAAUUUUGGACAAUGGGCGAAAGCCUGAUCCAGCAAUGCCGCGUGAGUGAAGAAGGCCUUCGGGUUGUAAAGCUCUUUUGUCAGGGAAGAAACGGUGUGGGCUAAUAUCCUGCACUAAUGACGGUACCUGAAGAAUAAGCACCGGCUAACUACGUGCCAGCAGCCGCGGUAAUACGUAGGGUGCAAGCGUUAAUCGGAAUUACUGGGCGUAAAGCGUGCGCAGGCGGUUUUGUAAGUCUGUCGUGAAAUCCCCGGGCUCAACCUGGGAAUUGCGAUGGAGACUGCAAGGCUAGAAUCUGGCAGAGGGGGGUAGAAUUCCACGUGUAGCAGUGAAAUGCGUAGAGAUGUGGAGGAACACCGAUGGCGAAGGCAGCCCCCUGGGUCAAGAUUGACGCUCAUGCACGAAAGCGUGGGGAGCAAACA
rnacentral:rRNA from 1 species